UGGGGAGGGGGGGAGGCCGGGGGGCGGGGGGGAAGGAGGAGGAGGGAGGAAUGCUGAGCGAGGAGACGGGCGAGAGACAGCCCUCACACACACGGCGCAAGAUGGCCGGAGAGGCAGCAGCAGCGGCGGCGGCGGCCCCCGACCUGUCAGCCCGGCGCCCCGCCGGACCCGCUCGGCCGCAGGGGCGGGGGCCGCCGGAGCCGGGCCUGCCCGCGGGAGGGAACCGUCCGGAGCCGCCGCUUCGCUUGGGGCUCCCGGACCCGCCGCCGCCUUCUUCUCGGGAGCGGGUAAUUUAAGAACAAAUUAACUCGGAGAUGACUAUGUUCCUGAAGAAAUCUACGGAACUGAUUUAGAUGAGGUUCAUCUUCCUGCAUUCCUGAAGGUUGGCUGAAAAAUCACCAAUUCAGUUUAGAAGAAUUCUGUAUCUAAAUGCAGCAGAAAUAAACCAUUUUGGGAUUGAGCUAUGUGACUGCCUAGAAGCUAUUUGAAGCAUUUAGCACGGUCAGCUUGAUGAACCGCAAAUGGAGCCCACCACUGAGAAAUCAAGAUGGCAUUCCACUGUUGAUUGGGAGUUAAGGAAAAUGAAUUAAUGCAUGUGUUGCUGGGAUAAAUCCAACCAAAACAGGGAUAUUUUAAGAUGGACUUCAUGAAAGCAGUGAAGAUGAUAGGUGGUCUGACCAUCUUUUAAAAAUGGAUAAUGGACUUUUAUGGCCUAAGGACUUAUGUCACUAAACCGAAGAUGGGACAUGGCACUUUGGAGAAUCAUUUUCAUGUACAGAUUCAACUUUACAGAAUGUAAACCUAACUAGAAUAUGCAGUCGAUGUGACUUGUUCUUUGCUUUUCUCUGUGUUUGUAUAAAAAAUGUACUCUUACAUUUUGCGAUUCCUAGUAAUUCAUUGAAUAAAAACCUAUUUUUUUUUUACA